rnacentral:lncRNA from 1 species
UGAUGACUCUCUCGUGACAGUGUCAGAGGGGGACUGAGAGCUGGGAGAGUUCAAGGUGACUGUGGAGAGGGACAGUCUCGGGAGUAGCCCUGCCUUCUGUUCCAUGCACAAAGCCAUAGAGCUAUCAACAGCCCUCCAUCACUGCCUAACUGUUUUUGAAUCUGGAGACACUGAAGCAGAUCCAGCAUGAGUACGUCAAGGACAACAUUCAACCCGAUCAGCUUCUAGCUAACUCCAGCAUCACUGAUCAACAACUCCAUACAUCUGACUCAGAUGAAGGGCAAAGGGGCAUUGACCAACAUGAAGCUGUCACAGUGCAGCAAGAUCUGACAACACAUGCCACUGCUUUUGUGAUAAAUGAGAGCCAAGCAUCGUCUCUCACAGGCAUGAAUGACAUUGUUGCUGGGGUACAGCAGUAUCAAUCAUCACUAUUGGACAACCUCAGGAAGCAGAUGGAGUCAGUGCUAAGGAAGCGUUCAGGAAGCACAUCAGGUCAACUUGAAAAAGAUGCAAUGGAUAUAUUUGACAAUUUCAUUGACCCUUUUGCUGGCGUUGCAACAACAUUUAGACAAGACAGUGUUAUUAAGAAGCAGUUUAGCAGUUUGGAUGCAGAGGAAAUUCCAAUUGCUUGAACCAUAUGCAGGAUGAAAUGUGGAGGUUCAAAAUACAUUUUCAUCAAAGACAAAUUAUUUCAUUAUGUACCAUUAGUCAAAAGUCUAGAACAGUUCUUAUCACACCCAAGGAUUUUGUCUAUGGUUGAAAAGGGACCCCAGAUGUGUAACGGGCGUCGUAUGUAGUAGACCAAGGCGCAGCGGGUUGAGUGCUCAUCUUAAACUUUUAUUGAACACUUACAAAACAAGAAACCGAACACACAGUAUUGCAGGCUACACACACAGCUAUGCAAAAACAACUUCCCACAAAAGACAGGUGAAAACAGGGCUACCUAAGUAUGACUCCCAAUCAGUAACAACGAUGUACAGCUGUUCCUGAUUGAGAGCCAUACCAGGCCAACAAAGAAAUACACAACAUAGAAAAAACAUAGAAAUACAAAACAUAGAACAAUACCCAAAAACCCUGGAACACAUAAAACAAACACCCCCUGCCACGUCCUGACCAAACUACAAUAACAAAUAACCCCUUUACUGGUCAAGAUGUGCAAGGAAAGUUUUUUUUUCAUGACGUUGUUAAUGGUGCUCUUCUAAAAUCACAUACCUUUGGUUUCUCUGAAAAUAAGGGAUUGCAGAUUGUUCUGUACAUGGAUGAAAUAGAAAUCUGUAAUCCACUAGGAUCCUUUGCAUCAAAAAACAAGUUGUUAAUGGUGUACUACACCCUAGGAAAUAUAAAUCCAAAAUACAGGUCUAAACUGGCUGCUAUCAUGCUACUUGCCAUGGCUAGAUCAGCAGACCUCCGUCAAUCUGGUGUAGAUGUAAUAUUGAAUAGAAUCAAGGAAGACAUGGAUGCAUUGUAUGGAUGUAUUUGGCCCUGUCCGGGGGUAUCAUCGGAUGGGGCCACAGUGUCUUCUUAUCCCUCCUGUCUCAGCCUCCAGUAUUUAUGCUGCAGUAGUUUGUGUCGGGGGGCUAGGGUCAGUCUGUUACAUCUGGGGUAUUUCUCUUGUCUUGUCCGGUGUCCUGUGUGAAUUUAAAUAUGCUCUCUCUAAUUCUCUCCUUCUGUCUUUCUCUCGGAGGACCUGAGCCCUAGGACCAUGCCUCAGGACUACCUGGCAUGAUGACUCCUUGCUGUCCCCAGUCCACCUGGCCGUGCUGCUGCUCCAGUUUCAACUGUUCUGCCUGCGGCUAUGGAACCCUGACCUGUUCACCGGACGUACUUGUUGCAUCCUCGACAACUACUAUGAUUAUUAUUUGACCAUGCUGGUCAUUUAUGAACAUUUUAACAUCUUGACCAUGUUCUGUUAUAAUAUCCACUCUGCACAGCCAGAAGAGGACUGGCCACCCCUCAUAACCUGGUUCCUCUCUAGGUUUCUUCCUAGGUUUUUGGCCUUUGUAGGGAGUUUUUCCUAGGGAGUUUUUCCUAGCCACCGUGCUUCUUUCACAUGCAUUGCUUGCUGUUUGGGGUUUUAGGCUGGGUUUCUGAACAGCACUUUGAGAUAUCAGCUGAUGUACGAAGGGCUAUAUAAAUACAUUUGAUUUUUGAAAUUUGAUUGUACAGUGGGGUUAAAAUGCUAACUAUUAAUGGAGAGAAUUAUAUAUGGUGCCAUGGUCUCUCUGUGGAGACACCCUGGCACAACAUGAACUAGCAGGGUUCAAAGAGUGUGGGCUUUGCUACAGUAAGUGCAGACACUGAGUGUUCUUUUGAGGACAUGCAGUCACACUUCAAUGAGGAUGCAUAUACUAAAAGGACAUUGGCGAAGCAUGUCAGACAGUGUGAUGAAAUAGAAAAGGCACCAACUGACUUGCUUCACAACAGCCUGAGCACAACAUAUGGGAUCAAUAAAAGGAGCAAGUUAGUUGAAUUCCCAGCCUUUAUCAUACAACAAACUCCGCAAGACAUUAUGCAUGUAAUUCUGGAGGGCAUAGACCCAUUGGAAAUCAAAUGUUUUGAAUCAUCUUGUGUCAGGACAGAUUGAUCUGGACUCGGUGAAUUCUGCUAUUCUUGGUUUCCCUUAUUCCCCUCUAGAUGUUAGAGAUCGGCCAUCCCCAAUUUCAGUUAGUAGAUUAACGUCAAGUGAUGGUAAACUAAAACAGUCAUCUGGGCAAAUGCUUGUCCUGCUAAGGAUAUUGUCAUUUGUUUUGGAGAGUUUGGAAGUCAAUACAUAUAUACUACUGAUAAUUGAGCUAAUAGAGAUUGUACAGAUAGUAUUUACACCAGUUCUUUCCAUUGUGACUGUGUCUAGGUUGAAGUUACUCAUUGAAAAUCAUUUGAAGCAUUGGAAGGAGCUUUUUCCAGACCGCAAUGUUACACCUAAACAACAUGAUACAUUUUCCAUCACAGAUAAAGUUAUUGGGUCCAAUGGUUAGACAUAUGUGUAUGCGGUUCGAGUCUAAACAUUGUUUCUUUAAACAAUGGGUUUCCAAGCUCAAUUAAAAAAAUAUUUGCAAGUCUUUGAUCAAUCAGAACCAAAUAUAUGAAAACUGCCAAAAUGUUGACAGUUCAAUGCACCCAUUUUUUUUCAAAUGAAAGGGAGAUGGGACCUGUAUCAGAGGUUAAAGAUCUACAAUAUUUACGUGGAAAAUUGAGGGACUUCCUAGGUUUCAAUGAAGUAAACCAUUCUGUAUCAGUCAAAUGGCUUGAAAUAAAUACAUAACUCAGAAGUCCAUGAUCUUUGCCAAAGUACUGAAUGGUAAUAUGCCAGAAUUUGGACUGGUCAAAACAUAUUUCUUGUUGAUUCUAGGCUUUAUCGUUUGAAAUAUCAACCAUUUCAAACUAUACGCUUUGAGAGAAACGUCAUGGCUUAUCAAGUUGAGGUCCCACACCUUGCACAGGCCACUGAGUUACUGGAUGCUGAAAAGCUGGUUGAUUUGACCUCUUAUUACACAAUUAGCAACAAGAGCCAAACUUAUGUACAAGUCAAAUACCAUCUUUGGGAUGUAAUAGAAUUGUACAAUAGUUCAAAUGACUCAGUGUGUUCCCCAGAUAUGAAAAGUGUACUGUCUUUGUUCUGUACUGUAUUUUGUCUACAUGAUUGCUGUGCUGUGUGUAAGAUUGACAAUAAAACAGUGAAUUCCAUUUGGUCAA